ACUUCCUCAGAGCAGUUUACCACCAGAGCCUUCUCUAACGGCUGGUGGGUCAUUGCCUGUUUACCUUGGAUCUGGUCCAUGCCUGUAUUCUGAGUUUCCUGAUGGAGCUGCUUUGGGCCUCCCAGUAGGAAGAAAAGUUCCUGCUCCCUGGACGCUGCCACUGAUGUUUGUUCACCUGACUCCCCACCUGUACCCACUGUAGCUAUAUGUUACCACAUUUCAUCAGGUUCUUUCUCCUGAAACACUGCCAAAUGCCACCUCACCUUUAUAGCCUGAAAGGAAAGUCAGUAAACUUGCACCAAACCUGAUCUCGGCUUCCUGAGCCAAACUUUUGUAACCUGCUUAGAGAUCCUGAGCUGUGGCAGGAGCAUUUCAGCCUGAAGGA
rnacentral:lncRNA from 1 species